rnacentral:tRNA from 1 species
GCGGGGAUAGCUCAGUUGGGAGAGCGUCAGACUGAAGAUCUGAAGGUCGCGUGCUGGACACGCUCACCGCA